ACCAGACUCCUACGGGAGGCAGCAGUGAGGAAUAUUGGUCAAUGGGCGGGAGCCUGAACCAGCCAAGUCGCGUGAAGGAAGAAGGUACUUAGUAUUGUAAACUUCUUUUGUCGGGGAACAAAGGCGGAGACGCGUCUCCGGAUGAGUGUACCCGAAGAAAAAGCAUCGGCUAACUCCGUGCCAGCAGCCGCGGUAAUACGGAGGGUGCAAGCGUUAAUCGGAAUUACUGGGCGUAAAGCGCACGCAGGCGGUUUGUUAAGUCAGAUGUGAAAUCCCCGGGCUCAACCUGGGAACUGCAUCUGAUACUGGCAAGCUUGAGUCUCGUAGAGGGGGGUAGAAUUCCAGGUGUAGCGGUGAAAUGCGUAGAUAUCAGGAGGAACACCGGCGGCGAAGGCGGCCUGCUGGACCGCGACUGACGUUGAGGCUCGAAAGCGUGGGGAGCGAACAGGAUUAGAUACCCUAGUA
rnacentral:rRNA from 1 species